rnacentral:lncRNA from 1 species
AAUCUUGAUUAUCGUUAUUGCAUUAAUGUUAAUGUGGUGAAGGUGAUGGUAGCAUAUCUCAAAGAAACAACAGACAAUGAAAUUUGGACCGUAUACACCAAGGAAAAGAUAAGGGUAUCAUGUUCCAUGGUUCUAAUUUGAUGGGACUCAGAAAAGAGAAUUGCAUUUGUCUUUGAAAAAAUGCUGUUUAUUACCAGCUGGAAUGCAUGCAACAAUCAUUAGGUUCACAUACUUGACAUAGAAACCAGUACAGAAAGGAAACACUAAACUGACUCAAAGAAUCCUAUGAGUAGAGACCAGCUCAACCACAGGAAAGAAACUAGGAAGGAGAAACAACAGAUGAGUGAUGAUGGAAGAAAUGAGGCAGCGGUGGUCUCCAGUGACCUUAAUUAGUACCACCAAGAACAGCCUUAAGCUUCUUCACCACAGCUGCGUCAAGGAAAGUGGUCUGCACCACCAGUUCAGUUGGCAAAUCGUUUGCAAACAGAGCGUAAUCAAGGAUCUGGAGACCAGGCUGUGGGCUGCUGAAGCUAACAAAGGCGGUGGAUGGUAUCCCAGCCCCAUUCACUUGAAAAUGCAGUAGUCCUUGAGGAAAAAUCAUAAUGUCACCCUUCUUAAGAGUUUUGAAGUAGACGGUAUUGGCUGAGGAAAUGAACCCAGCACAGAUUGCCCCCUGCGUAACAAGCAGGACUUCUGAACCUCCAGGGUGUGUGUGCAUUGGCACAACCCCUCCUACAGCCAGGUCCAGGCGUGCUAUGGACAAGCCAAGACCGUUCAAGCCAGGAAACUGAGGAGCAAAAGCCGGAGUCACAGCAGCUUUGAUAAGAUUUGAGGUGUUCCCUGCCAUGCCUAGGCCGGAGAAAACAAAAUCAUCAACAGUAACCUUUGCAGGCUUCUUGCAAGAGUAGCCUGCAGGCCCCUCUGGGGCUGCAAGGUCCCCGACGCAGAAGUCCUGCACUGCAGCAUGAGAUGAUAAGAUAAGGGAAAAGAUGCAGAGAAUUGGGAGAAACAUCUUCACCAAAUAUAAAGAAGAAUGUUUUGCCUUAGCCCUUCUUUGCCAUCCUGAUCAGGCUUGGCACCCUUAUAUAUAGAAUCAGGAAUGCGGAAUAUUUUUUUCAGCAUCUUCAAUUGAUUGCUAGAGAUAUACCGGCAAAAAAGUUCACAUGCAGUGUACCCUAAAAUGAAAGCUUGAAAAAUGACAGAUUCUGAGCUGUGAUGCAUGUGAUUCUGCAAUCUUUUCUUUCAGAAAAAACCAAGAAACCUCUUUUUUGGCUCAUGAGUGACGGCAAGGAGUGAAAACAUCUUUGGCCUUUCCAAUUUCCAUCACGUCAAGCCAGUGAGGCAGUAAGAAAACUUCAAUAUUUCAACACACAGUCAAUCCGUAAGCUUGAAAUUUUCAGCAAACCCCUCAUUUACGAUCUUUCACCACCACCCAAAUCACAUCUUCUGAUAUCUGAUCUGGUCUUAUCCCAACAAUACAAACAAGAUAGGGAGAUGUGAGAAGGUGGUCCAUUAGUAUAACAAAACAUUUUUCUACAGCUAGAAGGCACUCCUGCAAGUCGUCCCACGACUCCCACCCCUUCAAACGGUAGCCAUUGCCCAAUGUGUGGUUCCUAGACAUUGCCCAUCUUGAAGGGCUUUUGUUGAUUGCCAGAGGAUAAGGGCAUCUUGUGGAUACCCCACUGCAAGAUGCUCAUAGAAUUGUCCGAAUUGUUCAAUCAUCUCACUUGCUUCUGCAUUUCAAAUUUCAACUUAUCCUUCCCGAGUAUUAGCCUAGCUUAUUCAAAUUACUCUUUUAGGCUUUAGUACCGGGGAAUAGGAAUGGAAAAGAG